rnacentral:rRNA from 1 species
AUCGAACGCUGGCGGCAGGCCUAACACAUGCAAGUCGAGCGAGCGGCGGACGGGUGAGUAAUUUAUGGGGAUCUGCCCGAUCGAGGGGGCUAACUACUGGAAACGGUGGCUAAUACCGCUUACUAUCGGAUGAACCCACAUGGGAUUAGCUAGUAGGUGGGGUAAAGGGUCACAUAGGCGACGAUCCCUAGCUGGUCUGAGAGGAUGAUCGGCCACACUGGGACUGAGACACGGCCCAGACUCCUACGGGAGGCAGCAGUGGGGAAUAUUGCACAAUGGACGAAAGCCUGAUGCAGCCAUGCCGCGUGUAUGAAGAAGGCCUUAGGGUUGUAAAGUACUUUUAGCGGGGAAGCGUUACCCGCAGAAGAAGCACCGGCUAACUCCGUGCCAGCAGCCGCGGUAAUAC